rnacentral:lncRNA from 1 species
AAGGGCUGCCCUCAUGGGAAAAGAGUGGGUAAUCUACAGCUGGGUAGCAAAAGAUCAGAUGUUAACUCUGAGGAGCAAAUGGACUGAUCGUGCCACCAAACAGAAGAACUGGUCAAGGCUAUGUAUGUAUCUUCUCUGGAGUAUGGAGCUCAACUUUGAAAAUGAAUGAGAAGGAAAACCAAGACACUCAAGUAACUAAAGAGGAAAAAGAAAGUGACGUCUUACCCUAAUAUGAGUUUAUGAAGAAGGAAACUCUUUUCUCAUAAAGAAGGUGUGAGACCACAUGUCCUAUUCAUACUGCGUGCAAAUGAAUGAAGAAUGAUCUCCCACCCAUACAUACUGAGUGCAAAUGAAUGAAGAAUACUGGUGCUCUCCCAGUCAACUAAACUCCAUCCAGACGCAUACACCAAUGCAAUUUCAAACAAGUUGCCAAAUAAGAUGCAUAUAGCGCUCAAUGUCUAUUGAAUGGAUGCAUAAAACCCUAUGAGAAUAAAACUUCCCUUAUCCUUC